UUCUAUUACUAUAAUUAAUAGUAAGAUCUGCUCAAUGAUAAUUAAAUAGCCGCCUUGGUUGUGCUAAGGUAGCAUAAUCAUUUGUCAUUUAAAUGAAGACUAGAACAAAAGAUUAAACGUUUCAAUUUAUAUCCUAUUUAAUUCCCUUUAAAUUAUCCUAAAUGUAAAAAGACAUUUAUUUAAAAGAAAGACGACAAGACCCUAUUGAACUUAACUUAAGUUUAACUGGGGUAGUUAAUUAAUUAUUAUUUUAAUUAAUAAAAUUAUACAAAUAAUCCAAUAAUAUUGAAAUAAUCAAGUUACCAUAGGGAUAACAGCGUAAUAAUUUUCUUAAGUUCUUAUAACAACAAUAGUUUACGACCUCGAUGUUGAAUUAAUAACCUAUUUAGAGCAAAAACUAACCAAGGAAGUCUGUUCGACUUUUAAAUAAUU
rnacentral:rRNA from 1 species